AGUAAUAAUCAGACAGUGCAGAAAUACUCAAUUACUUAAUGAAAACCUUAGUUCCACACACCAUUCAGCAGUACAGUUUCUUAUAUUACUGGAUGGAUGCAUCUAGAAGUGUCGUGGCCUGGGCAGGUCUUAGUACUUUUCCACUGCAUCGGCUCCCCUCCUCUGGGUGGAGUCCUUGUUGUUCCUCACCUGAUGGCAAUCGCACCAGCAGUAUUUAAGACCAGCACACAACUAGUCCUCGCCAGAUUAGCUGCUAACCUCAUUGGCAUCUGGAAUCCACCUACCAAGCCUCACCAGCCUAACCUCUCCUGGAUUCUGGUUCGCACCUGCGGGUAACUUCCCUUCCAAACUGCCAGUGUCUCCUGCCUGCCUCCCUGUAUUACACGCAGACCUGGACCACCUGCAAACAUUGCCCUGGCCAGCCAUAGCUUCCCCCGCCCAGUCUCUGCACCCAGUCGUCACAGUGAUUUUGUCUUACUUUAGUUAUAGUUAUAGUCUCCUCUACCUCAGAUGUCUAGUUUAUGUUUCUUCUUAAUAACAGAAUGAGUUUUCCGUUGCUAACAAGCGUUGUGAAUAAAGUUCUUUUGUUGC